rnacentral:lncRNA from 1 species
GGCUCUCUAACCCAGAUGCAUACCAGGUUUUGAGGCUCAGAGCUUAGUGAAACUAAGCCUUGUGUCCCACAAAAUUCUGAUGCUCAUGCAAGAAAUAUCCAACUGGGGAGGAUACUCUGUCCGUGGACUGAUUUGCCCAGGCACAAAUUCAGGCUGAAAAUAGCAAACUAAAGUUAGCCGAGAUGUUCUGCCUUGUGGCCUCCUUCAGGAACAUCCUGUCCAGAGGAAAGGAUAUUUAAGGAGAAAGGAAGCAGCACAAGUUCGACUCAGCCAAGAAACAGAGGAAGGACAUCCCAAGCACGAAGUGGGGCACCAGUCUGUGUUCCAGCGAGAGAUAAAAGGGAGAGACACAACUGGCUCCAGCCCUUUUCCUGCCUCUUCCUGCUUUGAAUACUCACAUGAUACCUGGAGCUGCAGCAGCCAUCUUGUUUACCAAGAAGAAAAGCCAAGAUGAUCACAGAAUAGCCAGCACUGGUAUUGUUCCGCCAGCGACAGCAGAUACUUACCUCCAGAUUUUUGGGGAAAAAAAAUGGCAGGAGGCAUCCGUGAAGGCAAAGAUUCUGUCUGUUCUGCUGAUUUCGGUGGUCCCAGCACCCAGAAUAGUACUGCACGCAAAAGCUUAUCUGUUGAAUGAAUAAUGUGUGAACGAAUGCACUAGGUUAUGAAUCGGGCACCGGCAUUCAGGGAGCACGCCGGACUCUCAUCACAACACUAUAGCUUUAGUACUGAAAAUUCCUCCGCCGGGCGCGCUGGCUCAUACCUGUGAUCCCAGCACUUUAGGAGACCAAGGUGGGUGGAUCACCUGAGGUCAGGAGUUUGAGACCAGCCUGGCCAAACGUGGCGAAACCCCGUCUCCACUAAAAAUACAAAAAUUAGCUGGUGCACGCCUGUAAUCCCAGCAACUCAGGAGGCUGAGGCAGGAGAAUCACUUGAACCCGGGAGGCAGAGGUUACAGUGAGCCGAGAUCACGACAUUGCACUCCAGCCUUGGCGACAAAAGUGAAACACCGUCUGAAAGAAAAAAAAAAAAAAAGAAAGAAAAUUCCUCAGCAGAAGUCUUUGGGAAGGUCAAAGGUGAAACUCCGAAUUGUUCUCAGCUGUGCUUUAACCAUUCCAGCCCCCUGAGAGCCCCAGGGCUCGGUCCGCCGCCCUUCCUUUACAUUCCUGAGCUCUGAAGUCCCCACCUCCUUUCAGCACCCUGAGUUCUUUCCUAGGAUGGAAUGGACUGAAUAAUAUUUUCCAUGUUAGUGAUGGGGUCCAAGAAUGUCCAUGACGCAUGAGACCAGAGCUCCCAGCCCGGAGAAUGGAACGCUGCUCUCUCUGGAGCCACCAGGGGGCGCCAUUUCUCCACGGAGUUUCGCGAAGGCCGCGCCGCAAGAAGCUGCUCUCCCAGCAGGAGGCGAGGCUCUUUGCCUGUUGCAGGGUUGGGUAUGUCGGCAGGAUUUGGAAGUGCUCAAGCAGGUGGUGGGAGAGCUUGCUUUGAUGCUCCCAAAGAAAGUGUUGCCCAGGUUCUCUCCUGCUUGUAAUUAGACCUGUGUUCCACCCCAGACUUUGGCUGCAGCUGCGUGACCCUGGACAAUUCACUGUGAAUGUUGCAGCCGUGGUAACCUCAUCCAUAAGAACACUGGGACCCCAUGGGAUUGUGUGUGGACACAGUGAGAUGAAAGCUUGCAGGCACCAACCAUUGCUCUGAAAUGGGAGCCAGUGAUGGGAUCAGAGGUUGUUAAUUAUACUAGUAAUCAACUGAGCCCUGGUUCUCAAAGCCUGUUCCCUGGAUCAGCAGCAGCACCUGCUAAAUUCUGAUGGCGUUUGAUAGAAAUGCAAAUUCUCAGCCCCACUUCCCCCAAAGUCCUUGAUUGAAUUUAUUAAUCUGCCGGGUGUGAUGGCUCACGCCUGUAAUCCCAGCACUUUGGGAGGCCGAGGCGGAUGGAUCACCUGAGGUUAGGAGUUCAAGACUAACCUGGCUAAUGUGGUGAAACCCCCGUCUCUACUAAAAAUACAAAAAUUAGCUGGGCGUGGUGGCACCUGUAAUACAAAAAUUAGCUGGGCGUGGUGGCGGGCCCCUGUAAUCUCAGCUACUUAGGAGGCUGAGGCAGGAGAAUCGCUUGAACCAGGGAGGCUAAAGUUGCAGUGAGCCGAGAUCAUGCCAUUGCACUCCAGCCUAGGCAAUAAGAGUGAAACUCUGUCAAAAAAAAAAAAAAAAAAAAAAAAGAGUUUCUUAAUCAAAAGGCCUGAGAAUUUCAAGAAAUGCAGAUUCUCAAAUCUUUCAACUGAGAAACUUGGUGGGGGUGAGUCCCUCAAUCAGUGUUUAGCAAGCUGCCCACGUGCUUCUGAUGCCUGCUCAAGUCUGCUUAGAGCAGUAGGGACUUCUCCUGUAGGGGUUUGGAACACAAUACCCCAAAUUACAGCACUUUGGCAAACUGAGCAUUUGAAGCUGAAGGAAUUUGAGGAAACCAUAGAAGCAGGAAGGUCACUCUCUGACCUUCUCCUGCCUUCCUCUUCUGCAGUGGGCCACUCAAGGUUUCUCUGACCUGCCUCUCCUGAAAGUAGGCCCCAAGCCCCUCAUUCCAGAGGGGGUCCGGUCCUGUCCGUGGAGACCAUGAAGACUAAACUCACAGGCCUUGCUAAGUUCCCACUGUGUACAUCAUUGGAUCAAACCCUUUUGUCCUCCUGUGACACUGCUGCUUGACUGUCCAUAAAAACACAGGUGCCCUGGGUCACGGUUCUUCACUUUGGAAGACUCCUGAGUCACUCAAAACUUGGGUUAAAUAAAUUUGUCAUGCUUA